rnacentral:piRNA from 1 species
UCUGAAAGGGGAGUUGUCACCAGGACA